GGCUAGGUGGUGGAACGGUAGACACGCUAGACUCAGAAUCUAGUGAGCGCAACGCUCGUGAGGGUUCGACUCCCUCUCUGGCCA
rnacentral:tRNA from 1 species